UAGCCGUAAACGAUACUCGCUAGGUGUCGGCCACGGUGCGACCGUUGUCGGUGCCGUAGGGAAGCCGUGAAGCGAGCCACCUGGGAAGUACGGCCGCAAGGCUGAAACUUAAAGGAAUUGGCGGGGGAGGCACAACAACGAGUGGAGCUUGCGGUUUAAUUUGGAUUCAACGCCGGGAAGCUCACCGGAUAAGACAGCGGAAUGAUUGCCGGGCUGAAGACUCUGCAUGACUAGCUGAGAGGUGGUGCAUGGCGUAGACGUCU
rnacentral:rRNA from 1 species